AGCCCCGCCCCCGGGGCUGUGAGGGAGCGGUGGUGGCGGCCAAGUGAGGGGCGUGUCGGGGUUGCGUUUCCCCGGCCGCGCUCUGGUACCGACCCGGCUGCGGGACCGGCCUCGGCCCCGGCCCCGCUCCGCGACCCACGGUGGGAGGACUGACAGGCUCAGGGAGCAAGGGCCAGGAACUGGAUGGCGGUGAGGAGGCCUGAGGCGAGGGCCCAGCCUGCCCCUCCCCGGGCCUCCCUCAGCGGGCUUCGGCGCGGGCUUCGGCGCGGGUCGCCGCGUUGGGAGAAGUGAUGAGUCAGGUUUCCUCGGCUCCAUGCUAAUGCGCGGAGAUGGAGGGUGUAAUUAGGAGAGAGGCAGGGCUGUAAUCUGCAGCGCAGGGCAGCCGGGGCACGAACCUCCUCUGUGCAUCAGAGCAUGGCUGAAGUUUUCCUUGUUUGCGUGCUCUUCGAGUUGUAACGAUGUAUGUGCAGGGUUUAAUGGGAGCAGUGCCACAGACGUCAAAAGAUGUUUGUGCGUGAAACACCGUGCGUUAUGUAAUUCUGAUGUGGAAAGAUUACGGUAAGAAGGAUUUGUUUUAGUCAUGGAAACUGAAUAUUACGGCUCUCCAAAUCUCUAAGAAGACUUAGGAUGUUGCGCACAGCGUUUUCAAAAUUUCUCCUCUCAAAGUAAUUGCAAAUUGCCCGCUUGAGUGCUGUGAUCUGCUUUAUAUGCUUUCAUCCAUUAGAAUACCUCCUAUUUUCGCAAAACGAAGCAUUGUGUAAUUCAGGCAACUGGCCGGGCUAAAAAGGGCACAAUGAAGUUAGUAAUUUACGUCUCUUAGGGAGAUUAAUUGAACCCAGCUCUGGCCGUCUUCAAGAACUACUGAAAAGUCUCUCAGCAAACUUCUCCACCAAAAGUGAAACCACAGCCUCUGCCACCUUGCCCCUUCCAGCAGCUUCUGAUGGAAUCUUUUCCUGAGAUACAGCUGUCAUCAGCAGUGAGGAUGGCCACUCACCGGUCAUUUCAAUGCAGAAAGCACCCACACACAGCAACAGGCAACAGUACACAGCGCUCACAGAGAAACAAAUAUAAGAGGUUUUUAUUCCCCAAGCAGUACAGUAGAAAUGGCAUCUUAGUGUGAGAAAGCACUGCUUGCUGGAGUGUAGAUGUUUGCUGUGCCAUGUUUGCAUCCCACAUGCUGCAGUAUGGUGCUAUUAGCACUGAAGAAACAGUGGGAAGCCAGACAGGUUGGUUUCCAUCAACUAAUCUGAAUGUAAUGCUAAAAUGUAAGUAAACAACAUGAGUGAUGUAAACGGCUUUUUAUUUAUUGCUGAGCUCUAUGACAUUAUCUGAAAUGAGAAGCUUUAAAACAAGCAGUAGAGGAGCAGGGUUAUUAUAGCCACGAGCAGCAGAGUUGACUCUUUAACACAAGUAAGAUCCAUUGGAGUCGUAUGCUGUUGAAGGGCCUGGUUCAGAACUCAAACCUGUUGGUAAGGACAGUAGUAGGCAGGUUUGAAACACGAGUAAGAUAAUGGUUUUGACUGAGUUAACAGUUAACAUUGGAGUAUUGGCAAAUACUCAGAGUUCUUUUACAGCAUUCAUUUAUUUUAUUCUGACAGUGACAAGUACCUAUGACUGGACAUCCUCAGAAACAUGGUUGUGUCCUGUUCCUCUCCACUACAAUUAUUCCCACUCGGAGUGACUGCUUCAGGCCUUCAGCAAAGCCCAUUACAAAUGGGAACAUUUUCCAUUUGCCAAAUGUGAAUCCCGCAAACAAAUGCUGGCGAACCCAGGAUUUGGGGUCUGCACAACAGCUGUUGACUCACCAGGAUUUUGUCACUUCCCUGAAGAUGUUGCUGGCUGUUGGCUUCAGCUCUCAGGUUGUCAGUGCAAGCAGGCUUUUCUCAGAAGGUACCCACAAGAAGCAAUUAGAUGUGUGAGCAGAGGCAGUCAGCACAUGGGAUCCUCCCAGCAAAACAUGCUCAGCGCUGAAGGCUUGUCUGCAUGGCAUGCUGCUGCUUUCAUCGAACACCAGCAAAAUGCCAGGAACAUUCCUGGACAGGAGAAAUCUCAAAUUCUGUAAUUCAGCCUUAAAGAAACACUCCUCUGGGUAAAGAAACACUCCUCUGGGGAACUGCCUGACUGCCUGAUGGAAAUGAAAACUCUGACCUAUUUCAGCCCAGCUUUGCAGAAGGCACAAGCUCUAUUUAUGCUGCUGCAGGAGGGGAAAGGCAGGGUGCAAGCAAUGCACCUUGCUCUGCUUGGAAAGCCCCAGCAGCCCCAGCUCCAGCACUGGAGCCCCGCAUCAGGAGAUGGUGGGACCUGGCUCCUUUUGGGGCAGUUAAAGGAGUAACAACAUCACAUCUGACUGAACCUCGGGCACGCAGAUCUGGCUACUUACUCUUGCUGCAGAAGCAUUUAUAUUGACAGAGAUUCAGGAAGAUGCUGGGCAGAAGCUUCAGGGAAACAACUUUUUUAUAAGCAGAGCGAUGCCUUCGUACAGCACAGGAGUGUGAUCUGAGAUAGAAAAUACAACAGGACUGUAUUUCCACAGCAAGGUCAUGUCUUAAGAAUUUUACUCGUCCUCAUUUCUAUUAAUGUGUCUUUUUACAGGGAGAAAUACCUUAUUUUAGUUAUGCUGUAUAGCUCUUGAAACUUAACCUUCCUCUAGCUGGGCUCUAUAAAUCACAGAUUUUCUUAUAAACAGACUACAGAUCCACUUACAUCUUUGUAUUAUUUGGCUCUUUUAUUUCAGAAACAGAAUAGGCCAAAUUCUUCCCUGGCAUAGCUCCAUCCCCAGUAUUCUUAUUUUGAGGAUGCUGGGCCAGAUUCCUGAUCUCUCUUGCUUUGUCAGUGGGCACUCAGAGUCAUGCUGCUACGAUCACUGCUGUCAUAUAUCAGUAACACCACCCUGCUGCUGGGCCCUCUGCUUAAACAGCACUUUGAUCAAGUGAAAUAAGGAAAAUAUUGCUGAAUGUAGCCUUCAGCAUAUUACUUGUUCUGCUGAAAGAUCAUCUGCUCUUGGCUUAGCUUAUUUCAAGCAUGAUGGUCCAGGAAAGAGUGUACCUGUGAGUGAAAUAAGACUCAAUGGGAGUCAAUAAGAACCAAAGUAUUGCGGUAUUAAUAAAUGUGUAUUUGUGCUGAAGCAUGCUAAACCUCAAAGGCUGGAUAUAAAUAUCAAUGUCUAUUGAAUUGCAGGAAGAGAUGGCUGGUGGAAAGCAUGCCUAAUGCCGUUCUGCAAUGUGCAACCCUGUUUACACAGGGGCUAUUCAUAGGCACGUUCCUGUUGCUGGACAGGGAAUUUGCUUCUUCUCAGCCAGCUCAUGCAAAGCAAAUUUUCCCCCAGAGUUCUCAGGCAGAAGAUUUAACUUCCCUUGAAGUAAAGCAAUGUGCUGUGCUGCCAUGCAGGUGAUGGGCCAGCUGAAGGUGCGGGACAAGGAGCUGCCCAAAACCUGCCAAAGGACGAAGGCAGCUUCAUAAAAGCAGAGGUUGUAAUGGCACUCAUGUCUCCUUGUGAUCAAAUGCAGGCUGCACUUCUUUAGUCAGAAAAUGUGCCACAGUUGGAAUCUGGUAAAAUGAAUUCUGAGCACGUCCCUUCUGCAGUCAGCUUUCCUUCUGCCCACCGGGACAAUGGAGAGAUGACGUGGUUCAGAAAUAAACCCACAGCUCGGAUUUGUGAUUCUGUCAGAGUGGGUUCUCCUUUCCCGCUCCUGGAAUUGCUCUGGAGGUCCUUCAGCUUUAUGAAGCUGUAAUGGACAAGGUGAGCACUGGGGAAUUAACCCCCACCUGCCUCCUGCUAUUCCCUUUCAGGGCUUUCUGGACCAGUGCUUCCUGGAGCAAGUGAGGUCUGUUCUUGAAAGGUGCUGAGUGGUGAAAACAAAAGUCCAGAAAGAGGAGUUAUCUUGGGAGUUAUCAAGAACAGUGCCUACUACUUGAUAAGCUGCAGAGAAAGUAAAGCCUGAAAAUGCCCAAAUUGAGAACAAAGCUGAUGUGCCUACUGAGUGCCUGAUAAUAGCACCAAUGGGAAGAGCUCAGCAUGGCAUAUCUGGAGUUAUCUGAGUGACUGAUGAAGAUAAAUUAUGUUCUGCUCACCAGAAAGGCAGUGUGAUAGUUCUGAGGUGAUCUCAUUUUCUUCUGCUGUCAUCACUUUCCUGCGGUUCACACUGGGGUGAUUAGCCAAUGCAGGAUCUCUUAGGAGAGGUAAAAGUCCUGCUGGGAUGUCGGCCGUCUCAUUAGCGACCAGUCUCAUUAGCUCAGGGAAAAAGCUGUAUGGGGUUUUCCCCUCGGCACCUGCGUUACAUCCAUCCCUGAAAGCUAUCAAAAGAGGAGAACGCUGUUUGCUGUGGGUAACUGAGGGACGGGCACGGCCUCUGCUGGAGCUUGAUGCCUGCAUUUGCAGGAGCUUGGACUGAUGCACGGCACAGGACAGCUGGAGCUUGUCACUGAUCACUGCGAAAUUGCCAGGGGCACUGCACCUGCGGACAGGCAUCUGGGUGCAAAGCUCACGCUCGCACCUGAGCACAACCAUGGUGCUGCAAGAGGCUGCAUGCAUUGCAGCUGCACCGUGACAGAACAGAUUCAUAGAAUGGCUUUUGUCCAAACAUGCUUACUCCAUGCAGGUAUUAAGCACAUGUGGCAGGCUUGCAAUUUUGCCACUCAAAGUGUUGCAGAAGUGCUAACACACUUGGCUCUUCAUCUUUCAGGAGGAUGAUAGGAGCAUGUGCUGCGGGCCCCUUGCACUGCUGAAGGCUCUGGCAAAUAAACAGUUUCCUAAAAGCUCUUCACAGCUGCUGGCUGAAGCUAGGUGGAUGUUCGUGGUGUAAUAAGAACCAAAUGUGAUGUGCAUGUAGCAGAGUAUCCUGAGCAGCAUUGAGAAACUUGCAUGAGCUACUGCAUAAUUAUACAUGGGAGAAGAAAAAUCUAUGAAUAGUUGUAUUUAACAUCAUUCUUUGCACUUCUGUUAAUGUCUCUUGCCAAUGAAGAGCGUGAAGACUUGCAGUCUGGAGCGGCUAGAGGCCCUUCCCUUAGAGUAUAAAAGGAAAAAAGGAGAAAACCAGGAGACCUUGCAGAGGUGAGGUCAGAUGACACCACAACCAAAGCUGCGCAUCACAGUGAGUGGGAUCACUGCAACGUAUCUGAAUGAGAGGCCCCAGCUGGAGUACUGAGUCCAGGUCUGGUGCCCCCAAUACAGGACAGACGUGGAGCUGUUGCAGAGGGUCCAGAGGAGGGCCACGAAGAUGAUGAGAGGGCUAGAGCACCUCUCCUAUGAAGACAGGCUGAAGUAACUGGGCUUGUUCAGCCUGGAAAAGAGAAGGCUGUGGGGAGACCUC